UACGUAGGUGGCGAGCGUUGUCCGGAAUCAUUGGGCGUAAAGGGAGCGCAGGCGGGAGAUCAGGUCUUGCUUAAAAGUUCGGGGCUCAACCCCGUGAUGGGCAAGAAACCGGUCUUCUUGAGUGCAGGAGAGGAAAGCGGAAUUCCUAGUGUAGCGGUGAAAUGCGUAGAUAUUAGGAGGAACACCAGUGGCGAAGGCGGCUUUCUGGACUGUAACUGACGCUGAGGCUCGAAAGCGUGGGGAGCGAACA
rnacentral:rRNA from 1 species